AUCUUUAUGGCUCUGGAGUCCUCUGGAGUUUAUUGACCCGGGUCACCUGACAGUGACCUUGGCUAACUUGACACCGUUCGUUAUAUAAGUCUAUGGUUUGCACGUUGGCUCUGUAUCACAGUGAGUUCUUCUUUCAGGUGGGAACUGAGGAGACGAUGGUGACCGCUGUGCUCACCUUGUUCUGUUUCACCACAACUGAUGACCAACUUCUGCAGCUGGGUCUCCAAGAUCCAGCAACCCAUCAGGCAAGAAUGACUGUCUCAAAUGGAUUAACUCAGUCUGCAAUUACUUGCGAUUGCAAAUAUAUAAUACUGUCACUUAAAUUGCUCGAGGACUAUAUCUCAUAUUUUCACACAGGAAAGUCAAUGCACUGGUGGUCGGUCUUGACAAAGCAGGAAAAACAUCCACUGUCAGUGAAUGAAAUACACACCAAUAGAAAUAUAACACAGUAAUCUGGGUUGGCUGACGUAAAUUGUUCUGUCUCUGUCUGGAGUGCCCCCGGUGGAUGAGGGGCUUGACUCAUGGGUGUGUCCGGAUGGAGUUGAGAGUGGAGAACUUCCUGGUCACCCUGCUUGACAUCGGUGGGGGGGGGUCCUGGAGGGAUCUCUAUGGGGAGGUCCAUGGGUUCAUCUUUGUGGUGGACUCCAGUGACCGGCAGAGGAUUAAAGAGGUCCAGGAGCUUCUGACAGACCUGCUGAAGCAGCAUAAAGCGGCUGGCCAGCAAGCAGGACAAGAUGAACGCCCUGCUGGGGAUUGAGAUAAUCGAGAUCCUGUCUCUGGAGAGACUGGUGAAGCAGAGCCGCUGUCUGUGCCACAUUGAACAUCAGGGACAAGAGACCUCUGGCAACAGAUGAGGGACAACCGUGGGAAGAUGGAGAGGCCGCAGCAAGCCCAAAAAGGAAAGGAUACGUGGCAGCAAAAAUAACCUUGGUAAAGUACAACGCAUUCAAGAAAAGGACCAAAGGCCCAAGACCCCCUUACUACAACCCAUUUGAGACAUUGACAGUUUUAGUUCAAGAUCCAUAUGAUCUUGAAAAGAUUCCUAUAGUUUAAGUACAGUAAAGGUGUUAUGUGUGAACUGAUACACAUUUUGUAUUGUAGGAUAAUAUGAAGAAAAAGAAGGGAGGCCUGCCCUGCCUGCAAACCCUCCACAACCUCGUUCUAUUACUUCACAUCUUAAAUUUAUGGAUUACAACUGGAGUUUCCAUCGGCUUUUGAAGGAGAAUUGAAAAAGACCUGACGGCACAUUUUUCUUAGUAGCCACUGUGUAGGAAUUACAAAGCCAAUACACCCCUGAGAAGUGUGUGUUUAUUUUAUGUUACCAAAAGAUGUUAUAUGAGAGUGUCAAUAUUUAUUUACUAGUGGUUAUUUAAUUAUCUGUAGUAAAAGUAAACAAUUGUUUACAAACAUGAUCAAUGUACGGACAAAAUAUUUCAAUUCCUCAUAAAUAUAAAUAGAGUUUAUCUGUUUAUAUUGCAAUUUUGAUGGAAAGUGAGACUUGGUUUUAUAAAGUUUCUUGGACCUUAUUAUAUUAUAUGUUAUAUGUUAUAUGUUAUUGUAUGUUGCUCGCUUCGAUUAUGAAAUGUAUGCAUUCACUACUGUAAGUCACUCUGGAUAAGAGUGUCUGCUAAAUGACUAAAAUGUAAAUGUAAAUGUAAC